CACACACACACACACACUGCACACACACACACACACACUGCACACACACACCGGCCACAGACUUCCUUCGGGUCUUCCAACCCAUCUUUAUAUCUAAACAUAGCGAAUAAGCAUACUACUGAACGCCCGCUGUUCUGAUAUACGAUGCCAGGUGAAGCAAAAGGACCUGAGUAGGCAGGAACGGCACGUCAGACUUGUUGUCGGUCGUGUCGUCAAACCGCAGAGCGGCAAAAGGCAUGUUGUCGGAUCCCUGUUGAGGCUGUCUGCCGGCGAGAGAGGGGUGAGCAAAAGAAGGAACGGCCAGGGAGAUAUUGGUCACGUGGUCGACCCGAAAAAACACAAGAGUAGGGACAGCUGCUGUGCAUUCUUAGAAGAGGUCGGGCCGUCGGGGAAGGGUGAAACACGGCGUGGUGUGUAGCUCCCACGCUGCCACUGGUCGACCUCACCUCCGUCUGCCCCCUGAUGCCAGGACCUCUGUGGGGCGUGGGGGGGGGGGGGGGGGGGGGGGACGACGACACACACAAGGGCUGCUGCUGCUAGAGCAGUGGUGAGCCCUGGGCUUCCUUAUCACGAGCUUGUCGGCAAGUCUCUGAUGCCUUUUCUUUUUUGGGAUGUCCCUAUUUAAUUGAUUUUGUAUUGAUUUAAUUAGGUUACUUUUUGCAUGCAGUGCAUUAGAGUGCAGGGCCUGACACUGAAUUUGUAUCGGUCUAAGCAGGGUAUCAGUCUUUAAGGUUAACAGUCUAAGGGGUUUCAGUCUUUAAGGGUAUCAGUCUAAGGGUUUCAGUCUUUAAGGGUAUCAGUCUAAGGGUUUCAGUCUUGGCUGCCUUCUGAGGGCCAAGUGGGCCCUGUCAUAGUAUCACGCUAAAAACAUUGUGACGUGAGCGGAUCAACGCGAUCGCUUUUCAUGCAAUUGAAUGAAGCAAGCAAUCUAUAUAUUCCUCAUUUGACCAAGCAGUGGUCAGCUAUUAAUUUGUCAAUCUAUUAAUUGAUUCAGCUAUUCUUGUGACAUUGGCUAAUGAGACGGGGUCUUCCCCUACUGCCCAACUUACUCUGACUACACCCCCCCCCCCGCCCCCCAGUGUCUGGUCCGUCUAAUUUCAUCAGCAGCAAGCCAGCAGUCCCUGUUUAAAGUCAUCAAAGGAGUGAGUGUGUGUGUGUGUGUGUGUGUGUGUGUGUGUGUGUGUGUGUGUGUGUGUGUGUGUGUGUGUGUGUGUGUGUGUGUGUGUGUGUGUGUGUGUGUGUGUGUGUGUGUGUGUGUGUGUGUGUGUGUGUGUCCCACUGAGAACAGAGAGGGCAGUGUGUCUGCCCCCCCCGAGGCCCAUCGGGGCACCCACCCACCCAACCACUCGUCCAUCUUUCCCAGUCCACCCAAUCCACAACAGCCCCCCGCUGACAUCAUCACCUCAUCCCGUGACCCCUGGCUCCCCUAGUGUUUGACCCCUGGUGGUGACAGUGGAGCCACUGUGUGCCCUGGCCCAACAUAGCAGGGGGCGCUGGCAGAGGUCAUAGUGUGGCAUCUCCUGCCCCCCACCCCCCUUUUUUUUUCCCACCCAGGGUGUGUGUGGUUGAUGUCAAAAACUAGGUCCUAUAAUUUGAGCUGUUUUUCGUUUGGUUUCCCAGUAUAAUAGAGAUGAAGGUUUAACUCGGCGCGUCAUGCAAAAAGUCAUUUUAUUGAAUUUCACCUCAGUGACUGUGACUGUGUUUGUGCCUUGUGCAUGUGAAUGGAAUGGAUCCCUCAAUCUGCCCGGCUGCUCUUCUAAUCAAUUACAUCGGAUGCUGACACAUUGUCUGUCUAGACGGCAUGUAAUCAAAAAUCCCAGUUGUUGAUCAUGAGCAACUUUUCGUUGAGUGUGUGUGUGUGUGUGUGUGUGUGUGUGUGUGUGUGUGUGUGUGUGUGUGUGUGUGUGUGUGUGUGUGUGUGUGUGUGUGUGUGUGUGUGUGUGUGUGUGUGUGUGUGUGUGUGUGUACGUGUUUGGGUGUGUAACUGUUUUUAUUACAUCUUUGUAUACACAGCCACAUGCACUCGAAACCUCUUUUAUCACUCAAUUUUAUGUAUUCCAA